GCAGGACAUGGUGGCACCUGUGGUCCCAGCUACUCGGGAGGCUGAGGCAGGAGGAUCGCUUGAGCCCAGGAGCUCUGGGCUGCCGUGCGCUAAUGCCGAUCAGGUGUCUGGGCUAAGUUCGCGACAUCAAUAUGGUGACCUCCCCGGAGUGGGGCACCACCAGGUUGUCUUAGGAGGUGUGACCCAGCCCAGGUAGGAAACGGAGCAGGUCAAAACUCCCGAGUCGCUCGGUGGUGGGCUCUCGCCUGUUUAAGAGCCGCUGCACUCUGGCCUGGGCAACACAGCAAGACCCCGUCUCA
rnacentral:SRP_RNA from 1 species